CUUCUCGUCUGUCGCCAUGUGAGAUGUACCUUUCACUUUCCUCCAUGAUUGUGAGGCCUCCUUAGCCACAUGGAACUGCCCUGGCAAUCACUAUUCCAGUCUCUGCUUCUAUGAGUUUGACUAUUUCAGAUUCCACAUGUAGGAAAUGCUGGAGUCCUUCAUCCGAAUGGUAAAUGGCACUUGUGACAAAAAUCAAAGUAACUAAAAAAGAAUCUGGUUGAAACCUCAGUAACAGUUGGCCUGUCUACUGCCUCACACUAACAAGGGGGAGCUAAUAAAACCGAGGUUAGAACACACAAUGUGGAAAUGAAAACCUUAUUCUUGUCAAUGGAUGGAGGUGACCCCCACCUUUACAAGUGUCUGUAAUUCUCACUAGCAGUAUAUUAGAGGGCAAAAGAUUUGAACAGACACAUCAGAAAAGAAGACAUACAAAUGGCCGCUAAGCACUUGAAAGGAUUCUGAACACCAUUAGUCAUCAGUGAAAUGCAAAUUAAAGCCAUAAUGAAUGGCGCUAUACAUUUUCAGAAUGGCAAGGAUUGAAGACCGAAAAAAAUCAAGCGUUGAGGAGAGUGACAAAUGGGGAGACAGCCGUGGUGCAUGAUCGCCGAAUAAAUACCAUGUGAGGAUACAGCAAGAAGGUGGCCAUCUACAAGCCAAGGAGACAGGCCUCAGAAGAAACCAACCCUUCUUACACCCUGGACUCAGACUUCUAAUCUCCAGAACUUGUUAAUGCACAAGGUCUUGUGUUGAAAAUGUAGAGCCACGAGAUAAAAGCAGCUUGGAUGGCUGACUCAUAUACAAGGACAACUGCCUGAGAGUCACCAGGGCUAUCAAGAAGUUUGCAGAAACAAGAAAUAAACUUUUACUGUUUUAAACUUU
rnacentral:lncRNA from 1 species